UAGCUAGUUGGUGAGGUAAAGGCUUACCAAGGCGACGAUCUGUAGCGGGUCUGAGAGGAUGAUCCGCCACACUGGAACUGAGACACGGUCCAGACUCCUACGGGAGGCAGCAGUGGGGAAUUUUGGACAAUGGGGGCAACCCUGAUCCAGCCAUGCCGCGUGAGUGAAGAAGGCCUUCGGGUUGUAAAGCUCUUUCGGCCGGGAAGAAAUCGCAUGGGCCAAUACCCUGUGUGGAUGACGGUACCGGAAUAAGAAGCACCGGCUAACUACGUGCCAGCAGCCGCGGUAAUACGUAGGGUGCGAGCGUUAAUCGGAAUUACUGGGCGUAAAGCGUGCGCAGGCGGUUUUGUAAGACAGGCGUGAAAUCCCCGGGCUUAACCUGGGAACUGCGUUUGUGACUGCAAGGCUAGAGUACGGCAGAGGGGGGUGGAAUUCCACGUGUAGCAGUGAAAUGCGUAGAGAUGUGGAGGAACACCAAUGGCGAAGGCAGCCCCCUGGGUCGAUACUGACGCUCAUGCACGAAAGCGUGGGUAGCAAACAGGAUUAGAUACCCUGGUAGUCCACGCCCUAAACUAUGUCAACCAGGUGUUGGGUGGGUAAAACCAUUUAGUACCGUAGCUAACGCGUGAAGUUGACCGCCUGGGGAGUACGGCCGCAAGGUUAAAACUCAAAGGAAUUGACGGGGACCCGCACUAGCGGUGGAUGAUGUGGAUUAAUUCGAUGCAACGCGAAAAGCCUUACCUACCCUUGACAUGCCAGGAACUUGCCAGAGAUGGCUUGGUGCCCGAAAGGGAGCCUGGACACAGGUGCUGCAUGGCUGUCGUCAGCUCGUGUCGUGAGAUGUUGGGUUAAGUCCCGCAACGAGCGCAACCCUUGUCGUUAAUUGCCAUCAUUUAGUUGGGCACUUUAACGAGACUGCCGGUGACAAACCGGAGGAAGGUGGGGAUGACGUCAAGUCCUCAUGGCCCUUAUGGGUAGGGCUUCACACGUCAUACAAUGGUCGGUACAAAGGGUUGCCAAGCCGCAAGGCGGAGCCAAUCCCAGAAAGCCGAUCGUAGUCCGGAUUGCAGGCUGCAACUCGCCUGCAUGAAGUCGGAAUCGCUAGUAAUCGUGGAUCAGCAUGUCACGGUGAAUACGUUCCCGGGUCUUGUACACACCGCCCGUCACACCAUGGGAGCGGGUUCCGCCAGAAGUAGGUAGCCUAACCGCAAGGGGGGCGCUUACCACGGCGGGGUUCGUGACUGGGGUGAAGUAACAAGGUAGCCGUAGGGGAACCUGCGGCUG
rnacentral:rRNA from 1 species